GCUGGAAUUGCUAGUAAUGGCAGGUCAGCAUACUGCCGUGAAUACGUUCCCGGGCCUUGUACACACCGCCCGUCACACCAUGAGAGUUGGGAAUACCCGAAGCCUGUGAGCUAACAUUAAGAGGCAGCAGUCGAAGGUAGAAUCAAUGAUUGGGGUGAAGUCGUAACAAGGUACC
rnacentral:rRNA from 1 species